rnacentral:tRNA from 2 species
GUUCUUCUAGUUCCAACUAGAACACAUGACUUCCACUCAUGCAGUCUUGGUUAAACCCCAAGGAGGAACU